GAAUUCAUCAAGAGUGAAGGGAUCCAAUGUUCGUACCAAGUAUGGAACCCAAUGGAUCUUAAAAGGAUCCAAUCUAAUGGCCUCUCUUCAACCCGGUCCCUCAACUUGGCGUUUUUCUUCACAAUCCGAAUCUCUCUUCCACUUCCUUUCCCGGCAAAAUCGAAGAAUUCCGUUCUUCUUCUUCUUACUUACUUCUGUCAGCUUCAUCGGAAUCGAUGGCGGUUUCUUAUCCCAAGCUCCCCUUGCGGGAACUGGGAAACACUGGCCUCAAAACCAGCAGUGUCGGCUUUGGUGCUUCCCCUCUAGGCAGCGUCUUCAGCCCCGUUUCUGAGGAGGAUGCCGUCGCUGCCGUUCGUGAAGCCUUUUGUCUUGGCAUCAACUUCUUCGACACCUCCCCGUACUAUGGAAGGAACUUAUCAGAAAAGAUGCUUGGUAAGGGACUGAAAGCUCUAGGAGUUCCAAGGAGUGAGUAUAUAGUGUCAACAAAGUGUGGGAGAUAUGGUGAGGGUUUUGAUUUCAGUGCUGAGAGGGUGACAAGGAGCAUUGACGAGAGUUUGGCUAGGCUACAACUAGAUUACGUUGAUAUACUGCAUUGCCAUGAUAUUGAAUUUGGAUCUCUUGAUCAGAUUGUGAACGAGACGAUUCCUGCACUUCAAAAGCUAAAAGAAGCUGGGAAGACUCGUUUCAUUGGUAUCACAGGAUUACCGUUGGAAAUAUUUACGUAUGUGCUUGAUCGAGUACCACCCGGCACCGUUGAUGUGAUUCUUUCAUAUUGUCACUACAGUAUUAAUGAUUCAACAUUGUUAGAUUUACUACCUUACUUGAAGAGUAAGGGAGUUGGAAUAAUCAGUGCUUCUCCUCUAGCAAUGGGACUUCUAACUGAUCAAGGUCCCCCAGAAUGGCACCCAGCUUCACCGGAAUUAAAGUCUGCAUGCCAAGCUGCGGCUGCUCAUUGUAGAAAGAAAGGAAAAAAUAUUUCAAAGUUAGCCAUCCAAUACAGUCUUGUGAACAAGGAUAUUUCAACGGUGCUGGUUGGCAUGAACUCUGUCGGACAGAACUUGGAAUCAGGUGGAGGAAAACGUAGCUGCUGCUGAAGAACUUGCCACAUUUGGGAGGGAUGAGGAAACUCUGUCGGAGGUUGAAGCUAUCCUUAUCCCUGUCAAGAAUCAGACAUGGCCAAGUGGAAUCCAAAACAGCUGAUAUUUUAGUCGCUGCUGCUUGCUGGAAAAUGGGUCAAUAAAAGCAUACUGUUUGGUCCCUUUUCAGCUUGAAAAUGGAUUAUCAUCAAAGCACUGAGGAUUCGUUUGAAUAGAGUUGAUUAUUUCGGAUUUUUUUUUCAAGACAACAAUUAUGAGGUGGAGAUCAAAUCUUCAACCUCUUGGAAAGAAGAUUAAUUAUGUUCGCUUUCAUAAUUUGAAUUUGUUUUGUUUUGAUUGUUCAAAUUGUAAAUUUUUUCAAUCCAAAUAUCUCUUGUUAAGAGAUUUGAGUGAUUAAGACAUCUUGACUCCUCAACUCUUUUUCUAUUCAGUGAAAUGAAGAGAACUUAUGGACGAAUAUUUAGGUUUGGGUCUACUUUUAAGUUUGUAUUUAAAUGGUUCUCGAACUCUCGAAAAAUUAAUUGAUCUAUUAGAUAAUAAUUGAAUCUC